rnacentral:hammerhead_ribozyme from 1 species
AUCCAGUUAAUGAGUCCGAAAUAGGACGAAGUGAGCAUCCUGGAU